ensembl:lncRNA
AAAAUAUCACUCGGCUUGGGUUUAAAAUGUAAUGCUUUUUUUAUCUUUCAGCCCAAGAACUUGCCAGUCAAGAUGAAAAACUUCCUCUAAUGGAAUCCAGCUUGAAAGCAGCUCAAGAGCAGCUAAGUGAGCAAAUAGCAGAAACAGUUCGCCAAGAACAGAACAGUAGAAAAUCACAGACACAGCUGAAGACCCUGAGAGAACGUAUUAUAGCUUCUGAAGAAGAAAUUAGUGAUUACAAGUUCCUUGCCUUAAUUUAUAAAAAAAGGAGUUACUGUCAAAAUAAUAAUUCCAGGUUUGAAGGUAUUUGUAUUUU